rnacentral:lncRNA from 1 species
CUUUUAUUUUUGUUUUUGGGAGGCAAUUAGGAUUAAGUGACCUGUCCAAGGUUAUACAGCUAGGAAGUGUUACAUGUCUGAGGCAGGGUUUGAACUCAACUACAGGGCUAGUGUUCUUUUCCACUAUAUCAUCUAGCUUGCCCUGCAGAUACUACUACUUUUUUUCCCCCCAUGAGGCAAUUGGGGUUAAGUGACUUGCCCAGGGUCAGACAUCUAGGAUGUGUUAAGUGUCUGAGGCCAGAUUUGAACUCGGGUCCCCCUGACUUCAUAGCUGGUGCUCUAUCCACUGCACUACCUAGUUAUCCCUAUACUACUUCUUUACCAGUAUUUUUUCCACAAACCUUGCAACUGACCUUUUCUUAAAAUUUGAGUUUUUUACACAGGCACUUAAAAAAUUCCAAAAUCUGAAUUGAAAUAGAAAUUCUUUGGAAAACAGACCAAGUAGUUUGAUAGUUUCUAUUUAACUGGAACUCUUUGGAGUUUUUUUUACUGCACAUUCUUCAUUUUUCAUUCACAUAACCUGACAAUUAUUUACUUUUUUUUUUCCCCAUUGUACAGUAGAGUACUGCUAAGGAUUUUCUUUAUUUUUAAAAAUACUUGAUGGCUUUUCAAGUUGGAGUUUCUUUAAAGUUUGACUUUCCAUGUCUUAAAAUAUGUGUAUAUAUGUGUGUGUAUACAUAUAUAUAUAUAUAUAUUUUUUUUUUUUAAAUAAUUUUAGCCAUACUGUUUCUUGAGCCAGUACAAAAGCUGGCAUCUUUUAAAUGUAUCAUUUGGGGAGUUAAAAUUCUUGAUUAUGUUCUACACUACUGAAAGAGGAUUGCUAUGAUGCACAGUGAAAGUCUUAGUGUAAAAAAAGAGGAGAGGAGAAGGUCAGAUCAAUAAGUUUCAAAAAGGAAAAAGGGAGUGGUUUUGUCUCAAAGUAAAAUAGCUGGUCUCUGCCAGAAUGUGAAAGAAUAAAGUACUGAGACAAACCAAAGCAGGUCUAAAGCAAGUUGAAGAGGGUUGGAGGGAGAUGAACUUUUAUUUGCAAGGUGUUAAGAACAGUGAAUAAGAAAAGAAGUGACAAGAAAAUUAAAUCUUGACAAAGUUAGCUAGUGGUAUUAUUUCAAUGGUUUAAUAUCAUAGGGAAUAGACUUGGGACAUCUUUCCAGAAUGUUUCCAGGUUUUAAAGUAUCUCAAAAAGUAAUUAGAGUUUUGCUUUCCAUCUGUUGAAAAAACAUGUCUGGCACAUCUUUACAUUGGCUAAAAUUUUAAUCACAGCUUUUGCA